AACGAACGCUGGCGGCAUGCCUAACACAUGCAAGUCGAACGAGACCUUCGGGUCUAGUGGCGCACGGGUGCGUAACGCGUGGGAACCUGCCCUUAGGUUCGGAAUAACUCCCCGAAAGGGGUGCUAAUACCGGAUAAUGUCUUCGGACCAAAGAUUUAUCGCCUUUGGGUGGGCCCGGGUUGGAUUAGCUAGUUGGGAGGGUAAAAGCCUACCAAGGCGACGAUCCAUAGCUGGUCUGAGAGGAUGGUCAGCCACACUGGGACAGGGACACGGCCCAGACGCCUACGGGAGGCGGAAGUGGGGAAUAUUGGACAAUGGGCGAAAGCCUGAACCAGCAAGGCCGCGUGAGUGAUGAAGGGGUUAGGGAUGUAAAGCGCUUUUACCCGGGAUGAUAAUGACAGAACCGGGAGAAUAAGCCCCGGCAAACUCCGU
rnacentral:rRNA from 1 species